UUAAAUUAGUCCAAAAAAUAAAAGAAAAAUUAAAAGAUUUACCUAAACUAUCUAUGCCAUUAGAAACAGAUUAUUUAAUUAUUGAGACAGAUGGUAGUAUAAUAGGAUGGGGAGCAAUACUUAUUGCAAAACCCAACAAAUAUUCAGAAAAAAAUACUGAAAAAAUUGUAAGAUAUAAUAGUGGAAAUUAUAAAGAAAAAGGUAAUAUAAGUAGCAUAGAUUUAGAAUUACUUGCAGUAAAUUAUGCAUUAGAUUCAUUUGAAUUGUUUAUUAUUUCUAAAAAAGAAAUUACUUUAAAAUCUUUUAUUGUUAAUAAAAAAUCUGGAUUACAAUAUAUAAUUCCAUUAUUAUCAUUCAUAUCUACUUCUGUACUUGCUAUCAUACUUUUUUCUAUAUUUUGAAUUCUUUCAUCAUAAAUAGUUAAUAAAACUUUGUUUCCUAAAUGUUUUCUCAUUAAUCCUUUAAUUCCUAUUACUAUUAAUCCUAGAUGCAUAAAUCUAAAAUUCUUUUUUCUCAAUUCUUUUUUAGAUUCUUCUGAUAUUAAAGAUAAUUGUCUUACUUGUCCAUCUAAACAUUGAAUUGAAACUUCUCUAGCAUGUCUAAAUUUACUGUUUUCUUUUAGAAAAAUUUGAUAAAGUAAGAUUUGAUAGUAUAGCUUUUACUGUUUUCUUUUUGACGUUUUGAAAAAAGUAAGGAUUCCUUGCUUUUGAAAAACGCUUUCUUUAUCUUUCUUCUCCUAUAUAAGGAGACCAUUAUUUCAUUUGUAAACACACAAGAAAAUUUAUUGAAUACGGUUUUGAAUUCUCUUAAAUAUGUUCUAAUUUUCUUUCUCUCCCGAAAGGGAAAUUCUUAAUUGUUCUUAUUCUUAGAUAAAAUAAUAUCCCACAAAAAUAUUUUAUUUUAUAAACUACCGAUGGAUCAUUCCGGUAGGUAUGUUUUAUAGUUCUAAGAUAUGGUGCUAAUAGUUAAUAUUAGUUCCAGAUCUUGUAAGAACAAUUACUGUUCAUAAAAUUUUUAUGAUUUUAUAAAGAUUUUUAUGCUUCAUGCUGAGUAUAUGAUAAGAGCAUGUCUUAACUCCAAGUUUAAAGUUUAAAACUGUUUUUAAAAUAAGCCCUGAGUGACCUCUCAAAGCGUAAAGGCCCAGUGGAGAGGCUAGUAGACGCAUAGAAGAGGGAAAGGGAUCACUGUUUUAAGAAUUCUUGUUAAGGGAGUGCCAGUGGUAUCCUUGCAAGAAUGGAGUUAGGCCCAAGUUCAUAUAUCUCAGAUGGCAUUGUUUCUUUAAAAAAAAAAAAAAAAGGGAUAUUAUUAUAAUCAAAAGAAGAAGAAAACUUCAAUUAAGAAGAGUACUGAGUAGGAUUUUUAAUUUGAUUUUAACAACUUCCCUCAACAGCCUUCCAAUCUCUGAAAUAACCCUAUUUCAGGACCCCCCUUUUUGGUAUCAGAGCUUCUGUUUCGGUGCUGGUGAUUCAGAAAAAAAAUAAUAAUAAGGUAAUCUUUAUUUUUAAAGUUUUUAGAUUUUAAUUACUUGUUUUAUGAUUUUUAAGAUAUUACUUGUAGAUUUAGAAAAAAUAAUUUAUAGUUUUAAUUUUUAUAAAGAAAUAGAAGAGAUUUUUGAAUACGGUUUAGAAUUAAUUUCUUUAGAAAAAUAUAAAUCUAUAGACUAUUUAUUUGCUAUAUUACAAGUAACUAAAAAUUUAUAUCCAGAGUUAAAAGAACAGAUUUUAUAUAGAUCUUUAAUCUCAGAACUUAGAGAAGAAUAUUUUAUAGAUAAUUUUGAUCAGAUAUUUAUAUUAGAUCUAAAACUAAGAAUUCAAUUAGAGAAUAUAGAUAAUAAUUAUUUAUCAGAUCAUACAAAUUUUUCAUUAGAUUCUUUUUAUUACUCAGAUUAAAAGUUUAAAACUGGAUCUUUUAAUAAAAGAGAUUAAUAAAUUAAAUGGAGAAAUUAGCUCUUUAGAAAAAAGAAUUUUUAAUAUUGAGAAAGAUAUUAAUAAAAUUCGUGAAAAUUUAGAUUUUAUUAGAGAACAAAAUCUAACAAUUAUAAAUAGAAUUUCUAAAGUAGAAAAUAAAGAAAAAUUUCCAGAUCUUAAGACUACAGAAGCAAUUGAAAAUAUAAAUAAAAAAUUAAAUAAUAUAGAAAAUAAACCUAACCAAGAAAUUGAAAGUAUAAUAAAUAAUUUAGAUAAAUUAAGUUUAAGAAAUACAGGUAAAGAAAAAGUAACUAGAAAAUUAUCUACAACAUUUUAUAAAUAUGAAUAAUUUUCCUGGUAGAUCAAGAACCAUUAGUGAAAUAGGAUCAUCUUCAGAACCCUAUGAUAGAGGUAGACAUAGUACUCCUAAUAUAAGUACAAAUAUUAUAGAAAGAAUUUUACAUAGACAACCUCAGUAUAAUCAGAAUAUAGAAGAAUUAAUAGAUCCUGAACAAGAUUACAAUAGAUUUCAAACUCAUGGUUUACAAUUACUUAAUCCAGAAAAUUUAUAUAAUAGAGGAAUUUUUGAAUCAAGAACUCAAUUCUUUAGACAUACUAGAGAAGUUUCAAUUCAAUGUUUAGAUGGACAAGUAAGACAAUUAUCUUUAAUAUCAGAAGAAUCUAAAAAAGAAUUGAGAAAAAAGAAUUUUAGAUUUAUGCAUCUAGGAUUAAUAGUAAUAGGAAUUAUAGGAUUAAUGAGAAAACAUUUAGGAAACAAAGUUUUAUUAACUAUUUAUGAUGAAAGAAUUCAAAAUAUAGAAAAAAGUAUGAUAGCAAGUACAGAAGUAGAUAUGAAUGAUAAUAAUGGAAUUAUAUAUUGUAAUCCAGAUUUUUUAUUAACAAUAAAAGAUUUUUCAGAAAAAAUUAAAAUAGGAAUUCAAACACAUGGAUAUGAAGAUGUUGUCUCAGGAGAAAAUUUAUUAAUAAGUAUAGGAUUUUUAGGAAGAUGUAGUAAUAAUUCUCAGACAAAAUAUAAACUAUAUAUUGAUAAAGUAAUAAAUUUAAUGAGUAGUAAAGGAAUAAAAAUGAUUAAGCCUAAGACUUAUGAUUCAGAACUUUUAGCAGGCUUAGAAUGGAAUUUAGAAAAAUUUUUAGAAAAUCAAGAACCAAUUUUAGUUCCUCAAGAAGCCAUUACAUAUAAAGAUAUAUAUGGAAGAACUAGUUUAAGGUUUGGUAAUUAUAGUCAUAUAAAUAGAAAUAAUGAUUCAGAAAUAGAAUCCAAUAAUGAAGAACAAGGUGAAGAAUUUAUUAAUAAAGUAGAAAUAGAAAUUGAAGAUAGAAUAAUAUAUCCUAAAGAAUUAGAAAUGAAUUUAUCUCCUACAGAACUUUUAAAACUAGAAGACCAUUUUGUUUUUAAAUAAACAAAUAGGAGAAAUAGAAUAUUUAUAUUAUGAUAAUUUUAAAAAUAUAAGAGUAGGAACUAAUAUAGAAGAAAAUGAUAAUAUGACAGAAAUAUCAGAAAGUAGUAAUUAUAAGGAAUUAGCAGACGAAGUAAUGCAAACUAAAAUAGAACCAGAGCCAUAUCAAUAUCAAAGUGGUGAUCCUCCCAGAAUACCUUAUACAAGCUAUAGUGAUAAAGAAAAAAUAUAUAUAGCUAGAGGAAAAGUUAGACCUUUAGAACCUAAAAUAGAAUUUCAGACACCGCAUAAACCACAAUUAUUAAAUAUUACAGCACAUGAUCCCCAGACUUGGAAUAAUACAAUAGAAGUUUGGAAGAAUACAAUAUUAGGUCAUUAUAUUAGAUUAGCAGAUAACAUGGAAUCAUUAGAAAUGUACAGAUACUUAGAAACUUUUUUAGGAGAAAGUACUAAAGCUACAUGGGAAGCUUAUAAAAGAGAUAAACAAUCAGAAUUUGAAGCAUUAGUAUUAUUAGGAAAUAAUCCUUAUAACUUUUUUAGUAAAAUACAUGAAUUAUUAACAGGAGCAGACCCUAAUACAGGACAAUUAAUAAUUCAAAAUAAAGCUAUUAGAAAUUUAGAACAACUUAGCUUAAAUAGAUGGACUAAUGGUAAAGAAGUUAAACAAUUCUUAAAUGAAUAUUAUUAUUUAGUUUCUAUUUCAGGAAAUACUUUUAAUCAAGAAUUAGGGAAAAAAUUAUUUCAUAAAUUACCAGGCCCUUUAGGAUUAGAAAUAACAAAGAAAUGGAAUGAAAACAAAAGUGUUAAAGAAAGACCAGAUUAAUUAUGGAGUAUAGGAAUCAGAACACAAUUUAUAAUGCAACGUUUAGAAGAAAAAUGUAUUGAAUUACAAAUACAGAACCAACUUAAAAAGACAGAUUAUAAAUUCUGUAAAGAUAUUUAUACACCUCAGACUUAUGAAAAUAAGUUUAAAGAAAAGAAUAAAAGAAAAUAUGAUAAUAAGAAAAAUUACCAACCUUAUAAGAAAAGAUAUUACCUUAGAAAAUCUAAUAGAAGAAAACCUUACUUAGAUGAAAAUAGACAUGUUAGGAAAUUUAAACCAGAAAGAAAUUAUCCUAAUAAAUUAAAUUGCUAUGUUUGUGGAGAAACAGAUCAUUUAGCUAAGAUAUGUCCAAAAAAGAUAAAUAAUAAUGAUAAAAGAAGUACUUUAGUAGAAUGUACUAAUGAAGAUCUGUUAGAAAUAGAUGAAUAUAUUUCAGAUAAAGAGUCAGUAUAUAGUAUAAUAUCAAUAGAAGACUAUAAUAAUAAUUGUAAUUUAGAAGAACAAUCAGAUUAUGAAAAUUUUAUACAAGAAUUUUCAAAUAUUAAAAACUUAUCAGAUUCAGAUGAAGAAUUAGAAUUUAUGGAUAUAGAAUUAGAUUGUAAACAUAAAUGGGUAAAAGAAACAGGUUCAGAUAGUAUACCAUGUUUCAUAUGUAGAUGGUACCCCAGUAAAAAAUUAAGAGUUAAAUGUAAAAAUUGUUUUUUAGAAGCUUGUAAAAAAUGUUUAAUGCAGAAAGAGUUAAUAGAAUCUGAAGAAGAGCAGAAUGAUAUAAUUCAAAUAGAAUUAUCAGAAAUAAAAAUAUUAAGAAAAAGGAUAGAAAAUUUAGAAGAUAUGCAAAGAUAUAUUUUACAGAAAUUAGAACUUUUUGAAAUAAGUAAAAAAGGAAAAAACCCAGAAAUAAUUCCUGAACAAUCAGAAUUAGUUCGAGGUUUUUGUAAUUCAGAAAAAUUAAAAAGUAUUAAAGUAAAAUGUUAUGUUAGAAUAGAAAAUUUUGAAAUAAUUUGUUUAGGAUUAAUAGAUUCAGGAUGUAGUCAUUGUGUAAUUAAUAAAAGAAUAAUACCAGAAAAAUAUAUAAUAAAAUCAAAGGAACCUAUAGAAGCCAAACAAAUGGAUGGAAAUUUUUAUAGUUAUCAAGAUAUUCUUAAACCAGCAAGAAUCAGUUUUGAGACUAAUUGUGGAAGAAGUACAGAAUAUAGUUUACCCAAAGACUCAGUAUGGGUAAGAGAAUUAUCUUUAAAUACAGACUUAAUUUUAGGAUUAAGUUUCUUGUUAAAAGAUAAUGGUAGUAUAAUAAUUAGUAAAGAUUAUAUGCAAUUACAAAAAUUUACACUUUGUGCACCUACUUAUACUAAGCUUAUUCCAUCAGAGUUUGCUGAGAAGCGUGGUGGGAUAAUAGAAAAAGAAAAAGAAUGUGAGUGUAGUAAAGAAAGAGAGUGUCAAUUAAUUGAAAAAGAAGAAUUUGAGGAUUUAAUAAAAGAAUAUCAAGAAUAUGAUGAAUAUAAUGAAGAAUUAGGAUUAGAAGUUGUAGAAAUUGAAAAAAUUUAUAAUUUGUUAGUAACAGAACAAGAUAUUGAAAAUAUGAUUAGUAAACUUGAAAAAUUAGAAAUAUUAGGAGAAAAUAUUCUUAAAUAUUGGGAUAAAGAUAAAGUAUUUUGUGAAAUAAAAAUAAAGAAUCCAGAAUAUAUUAUUAAAACUAAAAUAUUGAAGCAACAAAUCAAGAUCAGGAAGAUUUUAGAAUGCAUAUAAAUGAUUUAUUAAAAUUAGGAGUUAUUAGAAAAUCAGAAAGUCCUCAUAGAUCAGCAGCCUUUAUAGUUAGAAAACAUUCAGAAAUUAUUAAAGGUAAAAGUAGAAUGGUAAUUAAUUAUAAAAGAUUAAAUGAUAAUACAAUAGAUGAUGCUUAUAAUAUCCCAGAUAAAACAGUAUUAAUCAAUAAGAUUCAAAACUGUAAUAUAUUUAGUAAAUUUGAUUUAAAAUCAGGUUUUUGGCAAGUUAAGAUGCAUCCAGAUUCAAUAGAAUUGACAGCCUUUACUAGUCCAGAAGGACAUUUUGAAUGGCUUGUAAUGCCAUUUGGUUUAAAAAAUGCCCCUAGCAUAUUUCAGAGAAAGAUGGAUAGUAUUUUUAGUAAACAUAAUAAAUUCAUUAUAGUUUAUAUAGAUGAUAUCUUAGUAUUUAGUAAAAAUAGGCGAGAACAUAGAGGUCAUUUACAAAUCCUUUUUUCAGAAUUUAUUAGACAUGGUUUAAUUAUAAAUAAAAAGAAAAUGUUCUUAUUUAAAGAAUAUAUAGAAUUUUUAGGAGUAAAUAUAGGAAGAGGAAAAAUAGAAUUACAACCUCAUAUAGCUCAGAAAGCUUUAGAAUUCCCAGAUAAACUUGAAGAUAUUAAACAAUUACAAAAGUUUUUAGGAUUAGUUAAUUAUGCUAGACUUUUUAUUAAGAAUUUAGGAAAAAUUGCAGGACCUUUAUAUGGGAAAACCUCACCAAAAGGUCAAAGAUACUUUAAUAUAGAAGAUGUUAAAUUAGUCCAAAAAAUAAAAGAAAAAUUAAAAGAUUUACCUAAAUUAUCUAUGCCAUUAGAAACAGAUUAUUUAAUUAUUGAGACAGAUGGUAGUAUAAUAGGAUGGGGAGCAAUACUUAUUGCAAAACCCAACAAAUAUUCAGAAAAAAAUACUGAAAAAAUUGUAAGAUAUAAUAAUGGAAAUUAUAAAGAAAAAGGUAAUAUAAGUAGCAUAGAUUUAGAAUUACUUGCAGUAAAUUAUGCAUUAGAUUCAUUUGAAUUGUUUAUUAUUUCUAAAAAAGAAAUUACUUUAAGAACAGAUUGUGAAGCAAUUGUUAGUUUUGUUAAUAAAAUGAAAUUAGAAAAUAAAAGAAGUAAUAGAAGAAGAUGGUUAAAUUUUAUUGAUAGAAUUACUAAUACUGGAAUAGUAAUUAAUUUUGAGCAUAUUAAAGGAAGUGAUAAUCA
rnacentral:lncRNA from 1 species